rnacentral:pre_miRNA from 1 species
AAGAAGAUCAAUUUUUAGUUUCUAUAUAUAAUAUUUUGACUCUGCAUCUUAUUUAAAAUUUUUUGCGAUUAAUAUUUUUAUUGUUAAUAGAUGAUAAAAUAUAAAUAAUACUUUAUGCGUGACUAAUUUUUUAAAGUUUUUUAUAAUUUUUUUUAAAUAAAACGAAUAGUCAAAAUAUUGGGCACAGUAAUCGAAAAAUGGCGUUAUU